UAUUGCGGAGGUCAAGAGGAAUAUCAUCUAACAAACCUGGUAAAUCAUUUCGUAAGAAAUUGAGAUACAUUGCACCAUUCAUAUGUCCCUCAAAAAAGUAUGGACCAAUUACAUAUUCUCCAAUGAUGCCUCCCCAGACAUUUAUCGACCACCUAUGUUGAUAAUCCACCUGUCUCAAUAAGUGAGGAUUUUCUGUCGCAUAAUAAUGGUAAUUAUGUCGAUUUACAAAUCCAUUUUUAUGGAAUGUCGAUUCAUCCGACCAUAAAAUAUUAUUGAAAAAAUAUUCGUUUCGACGAAUUUUGUUCAUGGCUCUCUUAUCUCAAUGCUCUCUUAUCUACCAUCACUCUGUCUGACGCUGAACUUUGAUUCGAGAGCAAUAAUUCAACAUAACAACGAUAAUUGAUGGGAACCUCAUAUCAUUCUAGUAUAUAUAUCAUUGAGAAAUUCACUUCGUUAAAGAUGGAUUUGAAAAUUAUGCUGAUUGUACUGAUGAUCUUCGGACUAGUUAUCAGUCAAAAGAGUAGAGGUUCUCUAGAUUCUCAUAUAAUACAAGUUGGCAGAAAGUGUUCCAAAUAUAUUACACACAACGGAGUUCAAAGAAGAAAUUAUUCAUGCAAGUAGUUAUUGAGGAUGACAAGCCUGUGGAAAAAUGGAUACACAUAAAGGAUAACCUACCAACGGGAGUGUUCAAUUAAUAGGAUUAUUGUUUUAUUGAAUGAAUUUUCUUCGAAAUAUUUGUACGCACUAAUUAACUCUGAAUAUGAAUUAUGUAAAAUUAUUGAUUAUCACUCAUUUGCAUUUAUGAA